rnacentral:rRNA from 1 species
UACAGGGGGUGCAAACGUUGCUCGGAAUCAUUGGGCGUAAAGCGCACGUAGGCGGUUCGUUAUGUCGGAUGUGAAAGCCCUUGGCUUAGCCGAGGAAGUGCAUCCGAAACUGGCGAGCUAGAGUACUAAAGAGGAUCGCGGAAUUCCCGGUGUAGAGGUGAAAUUCGUAGAUAUCAGGAGGAACACCGGUGGCGAAGGCGGGUCUCUGGGUAGUAACUGACGCUGAGGAGCGAAAGCGUGGGUAGCGAACAGG